UAUAGUGAUUUGAGUUAUGGUGACAGCAUCUGUCUGAAAAGGGAAUCCAGUUCGAAUCUGGAGCUGCCCCCGCAACUGUUCGUGUGGACGAAUAAGCAAUCCACUGUAUCGCUCAUCUUUCGGAGUGAUAUGGGAAGGGCUUUAGGAGGAAGAAACACAAGCCAGGAGACCUGCCGUAACUUGAGCGUGAAC
rnacentral:ncRNA from 2 species